GGCAGUUAGGCUGCAGUGAAUUCUACAAAGAGGCUAUGGGAAAGAAACCUGGAAAGUACCCUUGGCUGUGUACAUUUGAGUAAAGAGAGCACUAUAAAAUCAAAAACCAAUGAAAUGGUUUCCAGAACACAGAACUAUUAAGCUUAAGAAAAGGACAGAAGGAACUGAAGAGAGAGGAACUGUUUUGGAGCAUCACACUUCCACCUCAGAAGAAAUAAGGAAGGAAGGAGGAGGGUGUUCCCACGGCUCUUCAACCAGGCGGGCUCUUCAGCCUACAUCCCCAUCUCAUCAAGUAAAAGGGAUUUUUCAACUGGACCAACCAGAUGGUUUAACAGUGCACUCCCACACCAUUCAACUACGCAAGGGAGAUACACUUAACAUAUGCAGUCGUAUAACACCUACUAACAUUUUCAAACAUUAAACCUUUAAAAAAGAGUUCUAAAGAAAUAGAAGCUUGAAGUAUCAUCUCUCAAGUAUAUAGACACUACUUCAUGGUGUGGUAAUAUAUGCAUAUAGAAGCUAGUAAACACCUCCAGGAGAUGCAAAAGGAAUUAGAACUGCCACAAGGUGCAAGCAAAACCUUGAGAGUGAAUAUACCUUGGAAGAUGUGUCCUGCCUUUAGUAGCGUCACAAUGGAUUACAUCCUCUAUAAAGCAGUCUGGGAUAUUCUGCCCAAUCAGAGGCUAACAUCUGCCACAAGACAAAUAUGGUGCCUGCCCCCAUGGAGCUCAUAUUCGAAUGGAGAAAAUGUCAACAAGUAUCCCACGGAGUGAACACUUCAAAAGGAGAAGCACAGGUGAGAAAAUCGAAUUUGGACACCGUUGAGGAGACUAUUGCAGUCAUCCAAGCUCAAGAUGGUGGAGCUUCAUCCUUGAGAAUAACCAAUGGGGAUAGAUUUAAGAGACACUUAGAGUCUGCAGCCAACAGGGCUGAAUGAGCAGAGAGUUAUGAUUCAGAAGAUCAUCUAAAAUUGAACAGCUGCCACUACUGGCAAUAAGUCUACUGCCAUUUGGUAGAUAACCUUCUUAUCACACAGAAAAAUAUCAGUACAGACAAAUAGACUGCAAAGAAAAUGAGACCAUCAGCAAAGAAGAUAAAGAAGUUUGUACAAAGCAACUUUUUAUAAAUGGAUGGCUGUCAGGCAAAAAUAAAUUUCCUGUGGACAAGACCAAGAGCAAGGCAAGAGGAAAAUAAACAUGUUUAAACUA
rnacentral:sRNA from 1 species